UACGUAGGUGGCAAGCGUUGUCCGGAAUUAUUGGGCGUAAAGCGCGCGCAGGCGGUCCUUUAAGUCUGAUGUGAAAGCCCACGGCUCAACCGUGGAGGGUCAUUGGAAACUGGGGGACUUGAGUGCAGAAGAGGAAAGUGGAAUUCCAAGUGUAGCGGUGAAAUGCGUAGAGAUUUGGAGGAACACCAGUGGCGAAGGCGGCUCGCUGGGCAGUGGCUGACGCUGAGGCGCGACAGCGUGGGGAGCAAACAGG
rnacentral:rRNA from 1 species